GGAGCCGCCCCGGACCCGGGUCUGAAGUGCUGGCUUUGUGGGCGACGCGGAACAGGCGUCCGGGACAAGGCGGUCUCCGCCCCGCUGGCCCCAGCGCGGUCGGACCCUCCACACUGGCCGGCUCCGGAGCGCCCUCCGGCAGGAUGCGGGGCACGCCUGCCCCGGAUGGUGCCCGAGUCCCCCAGCCAGGCAGGAGGGCCGUUCUGCAACCUCCCGCAACCCCUGCGUGGUCCACGCAAGACGCCUCACACUCACCGACGCUCUCUCUCCCGCCUGCCUGCCCUGCCCGGGACCCCCGCGGCCGCCACCCAGCAGGAUUCUCAGAAGAGGAACAGUUGGCCUUGUGCAUUUGAGAUUCUGACAGAUAAAUAGCGAAAUGCUUGGAAACAGAAGUGGCAGUACACCCAGCAUGAUAACGGGAGCUAUAGUGGAGCAGAGGUACUGAGCUGGACUACAUUUCCCAGGUUGCUGAGCUGGACUACAUUUCCCAGGUUGCCUUGCAGACUCCCCAGAUAACUGCUCCAUGCCUUCUGUCCAGGGAUCCUAGUUUUGUUCCGUGGAGAGACAAGAUGAAAUCUGCGCGGGGUCAGAUGCGAGGAUGCAGAGUCCUGAUCAGAAGGAAGGCGACGGAGCACACCCAUCCGGCCCCACGCCCACCCUCUGCGGUCACGUGCUCGCCAGCCAGGCGGAGGCCCACAAUGCAGCCUUGUGCGGCCGCUGGCUCAGAACGGGCGCCGCGUGUCUGGGGAGCCCUGGCCAGCCGGUGGGGCCCGCCGUGAGGCCGGAGUUGCCUGGGAGGAAGGAUGCGCCCAGUUCAAGCCUCCAGGGCCCUAGGCCAGCGGCUCUCCAGGAAACACCUGGGCUGGUCGGGCUGCUCCUAAUGACACCUGGGACCCUGGGGGCUGUGUCUGGGGAAGAGGCAACCUGCAACGGAUGCCUGGCCAUCAGUCCCCCCAGACUCGCAGGGCGUACCUUGGGGUGCACAAUAGAGCCCCCGGUCUCAGAUAUAACAGGACAACCAGAGCAGCCUGGUCGAUUUUUAUAAAGCUGAAUGUAUCCGGUUUGUAACAGAAGGUUUUCUCCUGACAUUAAAACAUCCUUUUUUUUUUUUUUUAAUGAAAUGAUUAUAUAGUAGACACACUAAAAUAAAAAAUAAAAAUAAA